rnacentral:rRNA from 2 species
UUGACCUCGGAUCAGGUAGGAAUACCCGCUGAACUUAAGCAUAUCAAUAAGCCCGGAGGAA